CAGCAGCCGCGGUAAAACGGAGGGAGCUAGCGUUGUUCGGAAUUACUGGGCGUAGAGCGCGCGUAGGCGGUUACUCAAGUCAGAGGUGAAAGCCCGGGGCUCAACCCCGGAACUGCCUUUGAAACUAGGUGACUAGAAUCUUGGAGAGGUCAGUGGAAUUCCGAGUGUAGAGGUGAAAUUCGUAGAUAUUUGGAAGAACACCAGUGGCGAAGGCGACUGACUGGACAAGUAUUGACGCUGAGGUGCGAAAGCGUGGGGAGCAAACAGGAUUAGAUACCCCGGUAGUCCCUGUCUCUUAUAC
rnacentral:rRNA from 1 species